UACAGAGGUCUCAAGCGUUGUUCGGAUUCAUUGGGCGUAAAGGGCGCGUAGGCGGCGGGGUAAGUCGGGUGUGAAAUCUCAGAGCUCAACUCUGAAAUGGCACUUGAUACUGCUCUGCUAGAGGACUGGAGAGGAGAUUGGAAUUCACGGUGUAGCAGUGAAAUGCGUAGAUAUCUGGAGGAACACCGGUGGCGAAGGCGGCAUCCUGGACCACGACUGACACUGAGGAGCGAAAGCCAGGGGAGCAAACGGG
rnacentral:rRNA from 1 species